UGGGGAAUUUUGGACAAUGGGGGCAACCCUGAUCCAGCCAUGCCGCGUGCGGGAAGAAGGCCUUCGGGUUGUAAACCGCUUUUAGCUGGGAAGAAAAGGCGCAGGUUAAUACCUUGCGUUCUUGACGGUACCGGCGGAAUAAGCACCGGCUAACUACGUGCCAGCAGCCGCGGUAAUACGUAGGGUGCGAGCGUUAAUCGGAAUUACUGGGCGUAAAGCGUGCGUAGGCGGUUCGUUGUGUCUGCCGUGAAAGCCCCGGGCUCAACCUGGGAAUGGCGGUGGAAACUGGCGAGCUGGAGUGUGGCAGAGGGGGGUGGAAUUCCAGGUGUAGCAGUGAAAUGCGUAGAGAUCUGGAGGAACACCGAUGGCGAAGGCAGCCCCCUGGGCUGACACUGACGCU
rnacentral:rRNA from 1 species